rnacentral:tRNA from 1 species
GCCUGGCUGACUCAGUUGAGUGUCUGACUUCAGCUCAGGUCAUGAUCUCAUGGAUUGUUGGUUCGAGCCCUGUGUCAGGCU